UACAGAGGUCUCAAGCGUUGCUCGGAUUCAUUGGGCGUAAAGGGUGCGUAGGCGGCGCGGUAAGUCGGGUGUGAAAUCUUGGAGCUUAACUCCGAAACUGCAUUCGAUACUGCCGUGCUUGAGGACUGGAGAGGAGACUGGAAUUUACGGUGUAGCUGGUGAAAUGCGUAGAUAUCGUAAGGAAGACCAGUGGCGAAGGCGGGUCUCUGGACAGUUCCUGACGCUGGAGGCGACGAAGGCUGGGGAGCAAACGGG
rnacentral:rRNA from 1 species